rnacentral:rRNA from 1 species
GGAAGGUGGGAGUGACGUCAAGUCAGCAUGGCCUUUAUAUCCUGGGCUACACACACGCUACAAUGGGAAGGGACAAUAGGUUGCGAAGCCGCGAGGCGGAGCCAAUCCAGCAAAACUUCCCUCAGUUCAGAUUGCAGGCUGCAACUCGCCUGCAUGAAGUUGGAGUUGCUAGUAAACGCAGGUCAGCCAUACUGCGUUGAAUACGUUCCCGGGGCUU